rnacentral:rRNA from 3 species
UAGGGAAUCUUCGGCAAUGGACGAAAGUCUGACCGAGCAACGCCGCGUGAGUGAAGAAGGUUUUCGGAUCGUAAAACUCUGUUGUUAGAGAAGAACAAGGACGUUAGUAACUGAACGUCCCCUGACGGUAUCUAACCAGAAAGCCACGGCUAACUACGUGCCAGCAGCCGCGGUAAUACGUAGGUGGCAAGCGUUGUCCGGAUUUAUUGGGCGUAAAGCGAGCGCAGGCGGUUUCUUAAGUCUGAUGUGAAAGCCCCCGGCUCAACCGGGGAGGGUCAUUGGAAACUGGGAGACUUGAGUGCAGAAGAGGGGAGUGGAAUUCCAUGUGUAGCGGUGAAAUGCGUAGAUAUAUGGAGGAACACCAGUGGCGAAGGCGGCUCUCUGGUCUGUAACUGACGCUGAGGCUCGAAAGCGUGGGGAGCAAACAGG